AUUGAACGCUGGCGGCAUGCCUUACACAUGCAAGUCGAACGGUAGAGGGGCAACCCUCGAGAGUGGCGAACGGGUGAGUAAUGCAUCGGAACGUGCCCAGUCGUGGGGGAUAACACUUCGAAAGAAGUGCUAAUACCGCAUACGACCUGAGGGUGAAAGCGGGGGACCGCAAGGCCUCGCGCGAUUGGAGCGGCCGAUGUCAGAUUAGGUAGUUGGUGGGGUAAAGGCCCACCAAGCCGACGAUCUGUAGCUGGUCUGAGAGGACGACCAGCCACACUGGGACUGAGACACGGCCCAGACUCCUACGGGAGGCAGCAGUGGGGAAUUUUGGACAAUGGGCGCAAGCCUGAUCCAGCCAUGCCGCGUGCGGGAAGAAGGCCUUCGGGUUGUAAACCGCUUUUGUCAGGGAAGAAACGCUCCGGGCUAAUACCCUGGGGUAAUGACGGUACCUGAAGAAUAAGCACCGGCUAACUACGUGCCAGCCGCCGCUGUAAUAC
rnacentral:rRNA from 1 species